rnacentral:rRNA from 10 species
UUGACCUCAAAUCAGGUAGGACUACCCGCUGAACUUAAG